AGAAGCGUUCUUUUCGUGGUUUUCUUGUUGUCCCUUUUUUGCCUAUUCCAAAUGGGUGAAACCAAGAGGUGUUGGUAUUACUGUCACUUUAGGCAUUGUCACCGUUAUUGUUACCGUGGUCUAACUUCUAAAAGGGAGUUGCACAACAAUGUAAGAGAAGAGAAAACAAAAAAGGAAACAAGAGACGAACCAGCGAAUAAUGGUUGGGAUCCGUGGAGAGACUGAAAGAUCAAUGGACUGACAAAACAUAAUAUGUUACUUAUUUCUGUAUCUUUGCUUUGAUAAUUUUUCUUAUUAAACUAUUCUCCAGCAUCCAAUAA